CAGGACUCGCAAGACUCCUACAACCCUGUGAACUUAACUAUAAGCACGUUGCUUCGGCGGGUGUCUCGGCGAGGGUCUUCCCUCCCCGGGGCGCUAAGCCCGCCGGCAGCCUACUAUACUCUGUCUCUUUGCGUUGGCAUCUCGAGUACAAACAAACAAGUUA
rnacentral:misc_RNA from 1 species